UUCUUCUUUGGUUGUUUGGUGUGCGCUACACUGCCCCCUUUGGUGAUGUGUUGUAAGCAGCAGAAAAAGUUCACUCAAGCAGUGUGAGAAAAUGCAUGGAGCAGAAAACAACCUGCACAACUUUAAGCCCAGUUUACAUCGUUGGGGAGUUUGUUGAGCCAUAAUCUGGACACCCAAAUUCUGCAGAAAGCUCACUCCCUUCAGGUGUCCUAAUUUGAGAGUAAAAUAUGUGUGAAGAACAAAGAAAAAACUCUUUGAACGUCAGCUUCAGUCAGCAGAUGAAAAGAUAUGUUGUCAGAUGCCAAGAAUGGAAGAAACCUGUUUACUGCUCAUCCUGCUGCUCUCAGGAGGGCUUUCCACUCUUCCUCCCCACUCCAGAGAAUACCACUUUGUGAACCAGCUGAUGACCUGGACUGAAGCUCAGAGUUACUGCAGAGAACACUUCACUGACUUGGUCACCAUCUACAACAGCAACAUCAACCAACUGCUUUUCUCAAUGUCACCAAGGAUCAGUACUGGGGCUUGGUUAGGUCUCUAUAAUGAUCGUUACAGCUGGAAGUGGUCCAUGGAGGGAAAACUUUUUAAUGUUGGCAGUACACAUGAAUUUUUGAUCUGGGCUAACGGCCAACCAGACUGUCUAAAUGGAAAGGAAUACUGUGUGGCUCUUCAGGGACAAACACAGAUGGAUGAUAGACCCUGUGGAGAUUCUUACCCUUUCCUAUGUUACAAUGGUAUUAAAAAAAGGCUUGUUGCCCUAGUUAUCCCUACAAUUGUGUGAGAUUUAUAAUGUGUUUUUCAAAAUUCAUCAUUUUUUAAAUCUUUCACAGCAAAAAAUACAAGUUACAUCUUAGUGAUGGAGAGUCGCUCCUGGUCAGCGGCCCAGUCGUACUGCAGGACAUACCACACAGACCUGACCAGUAUAAGAAGCAAAGAGGAGAAAUCCAACAUCACGCUCACUUUGAAUGGAUCAGGGGCUCAGUAUGUGUGGAUUGGCCUCUACAGGGAUCCCUGGGCCCCCUGGUCUGACAACACAACCUCCACAUUCACUAACUGGGGGUCUGCUGAGCCUAAUAAUGGAAAUUCAAUUGAGUACUGUGGAGAUUUGAAUUUACUGUCAGGGAAAUGGUAUGAUUGCUACUGUGAUGCCAAACUCUUUUUUUUCUGUUUCGCAGGUGAGGUCCAGAAUGCAAACACUGUAAGAUCCUGUCAUCAUGUGAAAUACUAAUGUUUGUGUUUUUAUAUGUGGUUCAUUUUUAGCAGUGACAAAGCAAACAGUGCUGAAAAUGAAGCUUCAGUCAGAGGCAGACAUGCACAGCACAGAGAUCCAGCAGCAGGUUUCACAGCAGCUGUCAGGCCUCAUGCUGUCAGAAGGACUGACAGACUUCAGGAUUCGUUGGAGGAAAGUCCAGAGUUACCAUGACGACCAGAUGAAGAAGCAG